rnacentral:rRNA from 1 species
UACAGAGGUCCCAAGCGUUGUUCGGAUUUACUGGGCGUAAAGGGUGCGUAGGUGGCGAGGUAAGUUCGAUGUGAAAUCUCCGAGCUCAACUCGGAAAUGGCAUUGAAUACUAUCCCGCUUGAGGGUCGGAGGGGAGACUGGAAUUCUCGGUGUAGAGGUGAAAUUCGUAGAUAUUCGCAAGAACACCAGUGGCGAAGGCGGCUCACUGGUCCGGUUCUGACGCUGAGGCGCGAAAGCGUGGGGAGCAAACAGG